UCUUUGAAAGUGAUUAUUUAUCUAAAUAUACUUAACUAUUGAAUUGAUUAAGGAUAGAUAGAGCAAUAUAUAACUAUGGUAUAACAAAGAUACAUGUAGUAGAUGGUUUCCUGAUCUUCAUAAUGACUAUGAUUAGGGGUUCUAGUAUACAAAGACAGGAGCAUUGAUUUGACACAUGUGAAUUUGAUCCAGUGCUCGUGGUUUGUAGCUCAACUUACACAAUAGAAUAUUUAACUUGCUCUCUGUUCUUCACGGCAAAUCGAACUCCAGAUUUUAACGUUAUAAGUCUUCAAUCUUAUCUGUCAUCCAUCGACUGAAUGAUAGUUGGAUGUGGAGUUGAAAAAUAAAAUGAAUUCCAUAAGUCUGAAAAGUACGCUGACCUAUUAGAAAACUGGAUGAACAAUUGUAAAUGGAAAUAUAAAAUGUACUUGAAAUGAAGAAGGUAAAGUAGGACACAAUACAAGGAUCUCAUGAAGCAGUAGAAAAUAGUCAUGAUUGGACUCAGAAGUUGGACUUAGGGCGAAGUUUAGAACAAAUUAGUCACCCAGUACAGUACAGGAGAUCGAGAUACGUGAUAUAUUUCUAUAAACUAAUCUUGAAGCUGUAAACAAAUACAUUUCAUGUUUGUUGAAAUUUCCAAUCUUGUGAUAUCUUUCAUAACUUUAAGUCCAACAAGCAGAUGUUCAUCAUCAUCAGCAACACCACCACUACCAACAACAACACCACCAGCGACACCACCACCACCACCCGCAUAAUGCCUCAACGGACCACUUAACAUCUGAUGAGGACCAGCAUCUACAUAUUACCUAUAAUAUGAUAAUCUAUAUCUGUCGUGGUUUCCUUCUUUUUUGGGAUAUGUUUAACUCUCUGAUACCUUUAUCUAGAAAAUAAAACUAUCAUAAAGCAA